UUUAGGAGGCAAUAACUACAGUGCUGAAAUACAAUGCAACGCUAACGUGGAACUCCAGCAGAACAUAGGAAUGGAGGCAGAAGAAGCAAACGGCGCUGAGGAAUUUGUUUUAGCGACGAAAAUUCAGACCCCAAUGAAAAAUUAGAAGAAUUUUCUGAGCUCGGAAGCUCUGGAAAGCAUAAACAAAAUAAAAUUGUAUUUUUUAAUUUGGGUUCAUGUAUUUUUGGAUAUUUCGCUGCCAUCUAUUCACUAAUUUAUCAAUUUCAUCGCUAAAUUCACUUGUACUUCACCAACUAGAUGACAUGUUUGAGCGAGUGAACAUACUGUAAAGGCUCCGCUGCUACAACAACAACAACUGUAAGGCAAAUGCGCCCAUGUGUGUGCACACGCCCGGAGAAGUGGUUACUCUUUUCCCAAGCACAUACAAAACUGAUGCCCGUAUGAUACUAUU